rnacentral:rRNA from 1 species
UUCGCCUUACUCUACGGGAGGCAGCAGUGGGAAUUUUGGACAAUGGGGGCAUCCUGAUCCAGCCAUGCCGCGUGAGUGAAGAAGGCCUUCGGGUUGUAAAGCUCUUUCGGCCGGAACGAAAUCGCGUACGUGAAUAACGUGCGUGGAUGACGGUACUGGAAGAAGAAGCACCGGCUAACUACGUGCCAGCAGCCGCGGUAAUACGUAGGGUGCGAGCGUUAACCGGAAUUACUGGGCGUAAAGCGUGCGUAGGCGGUUUCGCAAGUCAGAUGUGAAAUCCCCGGGCUUAACCUGGGAACUGCGUUUGAAACUACGGAGCUAGAGUGUGGCAGAGGGGGGUGGAAUUCCACGUGUAGCAGUGAAAUGCGUAGAUAUGUGGAGGAACACCGAUGGCGAAGGCAACCCCCUGGGCCAACACUGACGCUGAGGCACGAAAGCGUGGGGAGCAAACAGGAUUAGAUACCCUGGUAGUCCACGCCCUAAACUAUGUCAACUAGUUGUCGGGAAAGCAAUUUCUUGGUAACGAAGCUAACGCGUGAAGUUGACCGCCUGGGGAGUACGGUCGCAAGAUUAAAACUCAAAGGAAUUGACGG